rnacentral:tRNA from 1 species
GGCUCGGUAGCUUAGUUGGUAAAGCGCUUAUUUAGCAUACAAGAGUUCUGGGUUCAAAUCCCAACCGGGUAC